ACCUCCGCGGCGACUCCGAAGACCCAAUCUUUCAAAACCUCACUCACUCCGGUGACAUGACCGGAGAAAUCUCGCCGGAGGUUUGUAAACUCGAUGAACUUACCACUCUUGUUGUUGCUGAUUGGAAAUCCAUAUCUGGUGAGAUACCUUCCUGCAUUACCUCUCUUUCUUCGCUAAGAAUUCUUGACCUCACCGGAAACAAAAUCUCCGGCAACAUUCCCGGCAAUAUUGGAAAGCUUCAGCAUCUUACUGUUUUGAAUCUUGCUGAUAAUGCAAUCUCCGGUGAGAUUCCGAUGUCGAUUGUGAGAAUCUCUGGUCUCAUGCAUCUUGACCUCGCCGGAAACCAAAUCUCCGGUGAGUUACCUUCCGAUAUAGGAAAACUCCGAAGACUGAGCCGCGCGUUAUUUAGCCGAAACCAACUCACCG
rnacentral:lncRNA from 1 species